rnacentral:rRNA from 1 species
GACGAACGCUGGCGGCGCGCCUAACACAUGCAAGUCGAACGGAGCUGUUUUCUCUGAAGUUUUCGGAUGGAAGAGAGUUCAGCUUAGUGGCGAACGGGUGAGUAACACGUGAGCAACCUGCCUUUCAGUGGGGGACAACAUUUGGAAACGAAUGCUAAUACCGCAUAAGACCACAGUGUCGCAUGGCACAGGGGUCAAAGGAUUUAUCCGCUGAAAGAUGGGCUCGCGUCCGAUUAGCUAGAUGGUGAGGUAACGGCCCACCAUGGCGACGAUCGGUAGCCGGACUGAGAGGUUGAACGGCCACAUUGGGACUGAGACACGGCCCAGACUCCUACGGGAGGCAGCAGUGGGGAAUAUUGCACAAUGGGGGAAACCCUGAUGCAGCGACGCCGCGUGGAGGAAGAAGGUCUUCGGAUUGUAAACUCCUGUCCCAGGGGACGAUAAUGACGGUACCCUGGGAGGAAGCACCGGCUAACUACGUGCCAGCAGCCGCGGUAAAACGUAGGGUGCAAGCGUUGUCCGGAAUUACUGGGUGUAAAGGGAGCGCAGGCGGAUUGGCAAGUUGGGAGUGAAAUCUAUGGGCUCAACCCAUAAAUUGCUUUCAAAACUGUCAGUCUUGAGUGGUGUAGAGGUAGGCGGAAUUCCCGGUGUAGCGGUGGAAUGCGUAGAUAUCGGGAGGAACACCAGAGGCGAAGCGGCUACGGGCACUAACUGACG